GACGAACGCUGGCGGCGUGCUUAACACAUGCAAGUCGAACGGAAAGGCCCUGCUUUUGUGGGGUGCUCGAGUGGCGAACGGGUGAGUAACACGUGAGUAACCUGCCCUUGACUUUGGGAUAACUUCAGGAAACUGGGGCUAAUACCGGAUAGGAGCUCCUGUUGAAUGGUGGGGGUUGGAAAGUUUCGGCGGUUGGGGAUGGACUCGCGGCUUAUCAGCUUGUUGGUGGGGUAGUGGCUUACCAAGGCUUUGACGGGUAGCCGGCCUGAGAGGGUGACCGGCCACAUUGGGACUGAGAUACGGCCCAGACUCCUACCUUAAACAGCAGUUAUUAAUAUUUCACAAUUAUCGCAAGCCUGAUGCAUCAACUCCGCGUGCGGGAUGACGGCCUUCGGGUUGUAAACCACUUUCUCCUUUAACCAAACUUUAGUAACUAUCAUCUAUAAACAACCACCGGCUAACUACUUG
rnacentral:rRNA from 1 species